rnacentral:rRNA from 1 species
UACGUAGGGAGCAAGCGUUGUCCGGAAUCAUUGGGCGUAAAGCGCGCGUAGGUGGCUUCGUAAGUCCGUUGUGAAAGUCAAAGGCUCAACCUUUGAAAGCCGAUGGAUACUGCGGAGCUAGAGUACGGAAGAGGCGAGUGGAAUUCCUGGUGUAGCGGUGGAAUGCGCAGAUAUCAAGGAGGAACACCGAUGGCGAAGGCAGCUCGCUGGGACGGUACUGACGCUGAGGCGCGAAAGCGUGGGGAGCGAACAGG